UACGUAGGCAGCGAGCGUUGUUCGGAAUUACUGGGCGUAAAGUGUGCGCAGGCGGCUAAGCAAGUCGAGUGUGAAAGCCCCGGGCUUAACUUGGGAAUUGCGCUCGAAACUACUUGGCUGGAGUGUGGCAGAGGAAGGUGGAAUUCCACGUGCAGCGGUGAAAUGCGUAGAGAUGUGGAGGAACACCAAUGGCGAAGGCAGCCUUCUGGGCCAACACUGACGCUCAUGCACGAAAGCGUGGGGAGCAAACAGG
rnacentral:rRNA from 1 species